CCAACAAGUAAAGGUUGAACAUUUGCAAAUCGAAGGGUUGUAUCAAGCAAUUGAGUUUCCUAGGUAGAAGUGGGAAGUGAUUUAUAUGGAUUUUGGUAUGUGUCUUUCUCGGUUUCGGAAUUAGUUUGUUUUGAUUUGGAUAAUCGUGGAUAGGAUGACUGUGUCUUCUCACUUCUUACUAGCGUGAACUUAUUUUCCGAUCCUGUAUCCAUCAUGUCUAAUUGUGGUGUUCAAUUCUCAUAGCAGUUU
rnacentral:lncRNA from 1 species